GUGAGGAAUAUUGGUCAAUGGGCGAGAGCCUGAACCAGCCAAGUCGCGUGAGGGAAUAAGGCCCUACGGGUCGUAAACCUCUUUUGCCGGGGAGCAAGUCAGGGCUCGUGAGCCCUGAUGGAGAGUACCCGGAGAAAAAGCAUCGGCUAACUCCGUGCCAGCAGCCGCGGUAAUACGGAGGAUGCGAGCGUUAUCCGGAUUUAUUGGGUUUAAAGGGUGCGUAGGCGGGCUGGCAAGUCGGCGGUCAAAUGUCGGGGCUCAACCCCGGCCUGCCGUCGAAACUGCCGGCCUUGAGUGAGCGAGAAGCAGGCGGAAUGCGUGGUGUAGCGGUGAAAUGCAUAGAUAUCACGCAGAACCCCGAUUGCGAAGGCAGCCUGCCGGCGCUCAACUGACGCUGAGGCACGAAAGUGCGGGGAUCGAACAGGAUUAGAAACCCCUGUAGUCC
rnacentral:rRNA from 1 species